CCAGCCCGCUCAGAAACUUAAAGGAAGUUGACGGGGGCCCGGCACAAGCGGUGGAGUAUGUGGUUUAAUUCGAUGCAACGCGAAGAACCUUACCUGGUCUUGACAUCCCGGAGACCCUUAGGAAACUAGGGGGUGCUUCCAUCUGGAAGAAUCUGGAGACAGGUGCUGCAUGGCUGUCGUCAGCUCGUGUCGUGAGAUGUUGGGUUAAGUCCCGCAACGAGCGCAACCCUUGCCUUUAGUUGCCAGCAGUUCGGCUGGGCACUCUAAAGGGACUGCCGGUGUUAAACCGGAGGAAGGUGGGGAUGACGUCAAGUCCUCAUGGCCUUUAUGACCAGGGCUACACACGUACUACAAUGGCCGAUACAAAGGGCAGCGACACUGCGAGGUGAAGCCAAUCCCGUAAAAUCGGUCUCAGUCCGGAUUGGAGUCUGCAACUCGACUCCAUGAAGUUGGAAUCGCUAGUAAUCGUGGAUCAGCAUGCCACGGUGAAUACGUUCCCGGGCCUU
rnacentral:rRNA from 1 species